CCCCUUCUCACUCUCCCCACCCCCUGCCCCGUGUAUGUGUAUGCAGAGAGCUGGAAAAAGCUGGCAGCACUACCUGAAUAGCUGCUGAAAGAGUGAGACUUCUCAGUUCCUGCUUCAUUACUGGGUAGCAGCUAUUCCAGUGUGUGCGAGCUCCCAACUGCCUCCUCCCAUCGAAAAGCCCUUGGAAUACAAGUUGCCCAAAAUCCCCACAGCACCAGUUCUUCCUUCACCAGGCCACUGACUCCAAGGAGGCAUCUAGACAGAUUUUGCUGCAGAUUUCACAGGUCAGUUUCCAGUUACCUUUCAAAUGGUGGAGGGCAUCUUGGCUUCCCAGGACACAGAGGAGCAGGACUUGAAAAAUAUCACUGGAAUGAGUGGAGUCUCCCAGGAUCCUGGCAGAAAAACCAAGGAGUGGGUGCUGGCCUCCGGGUCAGUUUUAUCAGGAUUUUCAAACCUUCCUGUAUUUUCCACAAAGUCCCCUAAAUAUGGACAUUGUUCUUGCUGGUCUUGUUGGCUUUGGCAAUGUUUGGCUGCUAAUUCUCUUGAAGCACUCCAGAGAGUAAAACAAGCAAAACAUAUGUCAUUUCCUGGUAUUAAACCAGAGCUUUUUGUAUCUUUUCAGUUUUAACAUUGUGAUAACCUUUGAUCAAUUCUCUUCUUUUAUUCCUUUUUCAAGAGCAACAUUCAGCUAUUUCAUUGUCAGAAAGUUUAUGAUAAGAUGGGAAAAGGCAGUGUUAAUGAAUUGCUUAUAACAAAUAUAAUACUACUGAAAUCAUUAUCAACAGAAAUACUUUGUGAUUUGAAGCACUUCUACAAAAUUACUAUUAGCUUCUCUUUACUGCAGGCCAAGCAAGAAAACGCCAGACUUCUCAUUUCGAAUAUCUGAUGUAGUUAUGUGCAUUUUCUUCCUCUUGAAGACUCAUCCUUGGGUGAAUAUUUGUACGGUUAGGAUUUAAGAUAUGCCAUAUUUGCCAAGAUCCAAUAGUACUUUUCCAUAAAUAUUUGAAAUCAAACAUUUCCUGAGCUGGAUCUCAUACUAGUGUGUGCCAUCAUGCUAUUUAUAUUACUGUGCUCCUGUUGACAAAUACAUAAGCAUAUGUUUUGUUUCAGAUAAGAAUCAAUUUGAUAAAUAUUUAUCUGAUUUUCCUUCAUGCUUAGACUGAAAAUCACUCCAGUAAAGCAAAGCAAAGCAAAUUUAAAUUUCGUGCAUAUGGUGCCAGUCUUUGCCUAUUCAGACUCUGCCUUAUUCAGGGCAAGGACUGGAGGUGAAAUUAUGGCAGCAGUUUUGAGCUCCAGUCUCUAAGUGAUAUUAUUAUAGAAAAAAUAGAGACAUAUAUAUCAAUUCUGCCAAAUAUAGACAUGCAGCUGGUGACCUCAUCUAUUGGCCAUAACAGCAGCAAUGUCUGGCCAUAGACUACAAAGAUGGUAAGAAUAAAAUGAAGAACAUGAGAAAUCAAGUGGAAAAUCCCAAAGAUCAUAGAGUGGGGGAACAGUGAGAGAACCAAUAAAUGUUUCAAGCACACCAGGAACAAGAGGUCAGUAAGAGAUAUAGAAAUGUUCUUUGAGAAGGAACAAGUAAUUUAUUGACACAAAAAAUACUUUCUAGGCAGUGCACUACCUCCAAAAAUUGGUCCUUUUAUCUAUGAAGUAGGAUGGGGAGAAGUCAGAAAGAGUAAAAUAUAUUCUUGCAAGGAUGAAAAGGGAGGAAAGUAAAAAUUCAAGCUCUGCAAAAGAAAGGAGAUUAAAUAUACAUCUAUUCCAAGAAAAUCUAGCAUGUAAUACAAUAUUAAGUAUUAUAGGAAAUUAAUCAACAUCAGUUGGAUGUGAAAGUAUUUUUUUAGUAUGAAAACCAUGCAUUUGGAGUCUGAAGACCAAGAGCAUGAAGAGAAAAUGUAGCACCUUUUAGUUUCAUCAGCCAGUGUAUUCAGUGUUCUGACUGCAAGCAAACACUUCCUUGCUGGCAUGCUCUUAGUUAGGCCAAGGAAGAUCCUAUAGCCUCCAUUCUACAUAGUCAACAGCCUGCUUUUAAUGAAAUCUGAUGUUACUGUUCAGAUGAAGGAUGCUGAGUGAUUGACAGUUGCUGAAUGCUUUUCUUCCACAUUUUAAGUCAUCUUUAAAGCCAUCAGAUCUGCGUGUAUGUGCAUGUUUCAUUCUUACGUGGGUGCAUGUAUCUUGGCAUUACCAUAAGGAACUGGAACAGUUCUGUUUGGAAACAGGAGGUGCUCAACAGUAACCUGAUAGUCUAAACCAUCAGUGAAUAUGUGGGAUCCCUCCUCUGCCUGAUUUAGACCACGGAUUUGGAUAUGAGCUUCCUAACUCCCACAUGAGUGUCCCGGGCUGUUAGCUCCGCUGUUGUAGACUUUUUUCGUUCCCUGCUGAUGGAGGUUGUAUUCAACACUUACUAUAUCUGAAUAAAAGAGAAAAUGGUCUUCAAACUUCACACUUUCAGCACACACCAAUAAUGUGCCAAAGGGUCCAGGUUCAUUCCAGUGUGUUUUAGUUUGCGUACACAGUGGCUUGUCUUCAAUACGCUUGGAGUCAUAAAAAAACAUAAAAUGAAUCACUAUUUCUAGCAGAGAUGUGAAAUACUGGAGCAUCCCAGGGAAGCAGCUCAUACCUGCAUCUCUCAGCUCCCAGAGCCAUGUUGCCACACAAGAUCAAUCUGAAAUACCUCUUGCUUUGCAUGGAACCCCUGAUGGAGACCUGAAAGAUCUUCUCUGGUAGCAGUUUAGCAAGGAGUGGCACUUUCCAACCUCUGAACUCAACAGGAACCGUAGUCCCAAGCAGCUUGUUAUACGUAGUCAUAUGUAUCCAAGGAUUUCUUUGCAAUGUGUGCCUACACCCUACAGUUUUUGGCAUUUCUGGGACAUUUUGACAGAAAGGUAGGCAACUGAUGUUACAUCUGCUUCCUCUGCACCUGUCUGUGCAGCCUUUGAUAUCUAUAACCAUCUGAAAAUGAAGGAUUUCUCUCCUUUCCCGACAAUGCAGCAAAUCCUGGUACAGCAAUUACUCCUCUGUGUCAUGAGUGGUGCUCACUCAUGCUCAGUGAAAAGUUACUCUUGGUACUAAGUGCAAAGAACUUGGCACACAAAGAAGAGGGUACUGAAAGCAGUGUCAGGGAAAGGCAGCCUUGUCAGAUCAAGGCAAGGUGGGUGGUAAAAAUAUUGGAGUGGGCAGCACACACAGACACAGAUGGGAAAAUGCAGAUGUCUCUAGACCAAGGAAAGGUCUAUACAUGUUAUAGAUGUGACACAUCAAAUCCUCACCUAGCAUAGUGUGCAUUGAUAAUGAAAAGGAAAUAUACAGUUAAUUGUGAAUCACAGCAGUCAUGUCCCACUUUUGCUUCAACUAUUAAAGACGGUUGAUUUAAUUACCACCUAGUUAUCUAGCAGAAGGAUUCACAAUAUAACAUACCCUCAUGGAAAACAAAGUCAGCAUGGUUUCACCUGCCGUUCUUAAUGCAAGAGAAUCAGAGAACUGUAAGCUAGACCAUGUGAUCAAUAAUUGCCCAAGUGGAAUAAAAAUACAGCCAGAAAUGACUAUCUGCUUCAAAAGUUUCCAUGAAAACAUCUCACACAAAACUGCAAAGAAAGAAAUAUUCAGAGGUUUUUGAGUGGGAGACAAUUUUCCAAAAAUACUGCAAUUUUACAGUAAUUUUACUCGUGGAAUAACAGAAGUUCAGCAAAAAAGAUGUUUUUCACAAAUUUCACUCCUUACUUCAUCUCCAUUGAAUGCAUAAAUAUGGUCUUUCAAGUAUAAAAUAGGCAUGCAGCACCAUUACCUGGUGGCCAAAUGCUCUCACAGAAGCCACCUGGGGUCAUGGAGCAGUCAAAGGCAGGCACAGACUCAGCAGCCCUGAGCCAACUUCGAGUUCAGGCCUGAUGCUGAUGCCUACGUUACUCUGCUACUGUUGCUGGGUAAGAUAUUUUCACCUCUAUAAUUGCUGCAAUGAGGGAGCUUAAGGUUAGUGCAGAUUUGAUUGGACCAGACACCCCACACCGUCCUUGGAGAGGAACGAAUUUGUUAGCUCAACUCCUGUGAUGGGAUAAAUGUUUGAAUCUCCACUGAUGUCAGGGAGAUUCAGCCAUUUGCACCAGCUAAACUGACAGCUUGCUGGGAGCACAUCAGUGUGUUCCUAGCCACAGCUCUAACAAUCAGCUUUGUAACAGCAGCUGCACAGAGAUCCAGAAAAGAGCCUUCCAUGGCCUGGGCAGAUGACUUUGAGCUGAGUUCAUCUCAGUGGGAAGUUCUCCUUUGCAUAUCUUCUGGUACACUUGAAAGAGCAUAGCUACCUGUUGCUUUGUAGACUGAGCAUGAAUAGAAGUUUAUACUGCAAAAAGAAGGAGUGAGCAUCAUUGCCUUUGAAGUCGAAGCCAGAACUCUAGACUGUAGAAGCAGAAGUAUCGGGAGCAUCAUUAGUAACUUCCCUGUUUCUUCCGCCCAGAGCUGAAAGGCUGCUGUCAUGGCAAUUUUAAAACAUCUCCUUUGAAAUUAUUUUUGAUACUUUUUUUGCACUUAACCUCACCGUUUUUCAUCUGCCUUUUUUUUUUUUUUUCAGCUCAAUCUGUGUAGCAUUCCCUUUAUUUAAGUUACUUAUAUUCAUUUCCUAAUAUUUAAUUUUGUAACACUGAUCUGUGUUUGGUUUAACAAAGUAAAGUCCAAGUGUGUCAAAACACUGAAAGUGAGAUGACUGGAUAGACAGGCAGACAGACAGACACUGAGAUUUUCUAUCCUUAUAGCUUGGCAAAUCAAAACCUGGUUAACUUGUCUUAUUUAUUUCAUACUGCUUGUACCUCCUGCUCAAGGGAGUAACCUUUUUUUCCUAUUUGCUUUGAAGGUGAUGUCAUAGAGCAGACUGAAUAUCAGAAAUAGAACUGUACUCUAGUAGGUGUCAGCCAAGUAAAAUCUUACAAUUUUGCACAAAACAGAGUAAAAAUGUUGAUAAUUUUAAAAUAGAGUGGAACUGAUCAAGAUGUAGGAUUCUGAGUGCAGAUAAACUGUCUGGACUUGGGCCUAUUUAUGUGUUAAUAGGAAAUGUAGGCAGCCAAGAAGCAAUCUGACCCUGUUCCUUACAAGGAAAAACUUCUGUUUUCAGGUAUUCUCAGGACAGGAAAAGACAGAGACAUGCUUUUGAAACCACCACAUUGUCAUCUCAAGUACAGGGGAGGCUGUGUGGGGAACAGGAGAUAUUUCAUGUAACCAGUGGUGCUUUUAUUUAAAAUAUGCUAUACAUUUCAAACAGCUUCAAUUAUCUGUAUGUCAGCAGUAAUAAAGUAUUUCUUUAGCACUUAAUACAAGUAGUUCUUUGUAUUUUUUAAUCAGAACUGAUUUCUGAAGAAUACUUCAUAGAGAUGUAAA
ensembl:lncRNA